GACGGCAUGGCCGAGCGGUAAGGCGGUGGAUUGCAAAUCCUUUUUCCCCAGUUCAAACCUGGGUGUCGUCUAAAAAAAAAA
rnacentral:tRNA from 1 species